GCAGGGCAGGGCGGGCCGGCCAGGGGGAGCGGGGACCCGGGGGGCGGCAGCAGACGUGUCUGUUUAACCCCACGUAAAGGCAACGUGAUCACCCGGGCUCCGCUUCCCAUCUCCCUGCUCUUGCCGUCCGCUCCUGGGCAGAGGCAGCUCCCGGACCUGCUUCUCCGGGCUGGAUCCUGCCCCGGCCCCCCGCGCCGGCGCAGCUCCGGGAUGCGGGGCGGGGGGCGCCGGGCCGUGGCGCCCCGCUCCCCUGCUCCGCCGGCCGCCCCCCGCCUCGCCUCGCCUCGCCUCGGCCGCCGGGACUCGGCGUGAGCCUCGGAGGGGCGGGGACGCGGACACGCGCGGAGCCCAGCGCCAGCCGAGCUCGCACGUGGAAGGAGCGGGCAGCAGCCGGCACGGAGACACCCCGGCCCGGCAGCCCCGCGCCUCUCGCAAGUUGGUUCCCAAGUUCCGGCAAGUGCGGCCGGGCCCCGCCGGGCCCCCGCCCCGUCCAGCCCCGGGCGGGAAAAACCCGGCGCUGCCCUCCCUGCCCCCGCGCCCGGCUCGGAACAAUGGAGCUCGGCGACGCCCGCCCGGGCGGGGAGGCAACGGGGGCUGGCGGGGAGCGACCCCCACGAGGGACGCCCCCCGGGCCCGCGGGGGCAUGAAGGCUCUGGAGCGCCGGGGCUGAAGAAGGCGCCGCCCGGGGAGGGAGCCCCCGCCUGCCCCCUCCGCUGCCCGGGGCUCUGCUCGGGACCAGCGUGAAGCAACAAGUCAGCCCGCGGGUCCCUGGCCGGUGCGUGCGAGCUGCGGCUGCGGCAGAACAGGCCCAGGCCCCGGGAGAAGGAGCCGGCUCCGCGGCGCUGGCAGGUCGGGCGAGAAGUCUUUUGCAGAAAAGGGAAAAACCCUCCUCCCAAUCCAUGCAUCACAGCCACCGCCACUGCCAGGGAAGCGGGAUGGAAAGACACGUGCCUUGCUAAGGGGGAAAAGAGCGAGCCCGGGAGUGCACAGGCUUUGAAGGGCACGUAUCUGGGAGGAUUGUGCUCCUCCGGGAGGAGAUGUGACCUCCAGCGCCCUGCACGCACAUCAGAGCUGGCUACACGCCUGAGUGCAGGCAGCAAGCAUGCCCGAUCCAGCCUUCACCAGGAAUCAAGGGGGCGCGGGGACAGACACCAGCCUUGCAAGGCUUGGCUUGCAGAGACAAGUCAUGCCUCCCCGGGCCGGGGGCAGGCUGAACGAUUCUCACCCCGAGGCAAUGGCCCGCUCAGGAAGAGGCUGUCUUCUGCCUGCAAGGCUUGGACUGGCCGGCUUGGCUGCGCGGCUCCAAGGCAAGGAUGAAAGGCCGAGGGAGCCCGGGGUGGAAGAUGCUCCCAGUCGUGUCCACGUGGAUGCUAGAGGCCGUGGGAGCCUCCCACAGAAGAGGUGCCGCGAUCUGAAGCCAUGGAGCUGGCUGCCCCGGAAGCCAAGUGGACAACCCCGGGCCGAGACCCGCCGGUCACUGCCCGAAUAAAACCAGGGGUCGGCAGCACGUGAAGCGGUGGCAGGGAAGGGGGAAAAGCCAUGCCAGCAGCGGGCAGAUCGGUGGCACGUCCCCCUGAGCGGAGCACGUGGUGCGCAGAGCUUCGGCGGCUGCAUUGGGAGAGCGGGAUCCUGCCCGCUGGAGACGGGGCCGUCCGUCACUUGCCCGCGUCGCUGGCAUCGAGCCUUGCAGGGCUGCUGGCAGGAUUCGAAUCCGCUGCCUCCCGUGGGGAACAGCCCGAGCCUCUGCCAGCCGGGGCUCCAGUGACAGCGACGGGCUCGUUGACCUUUCCCGGGGGCCAGACAAAAGCCCCGGCCUCCAAGCGGGGUGCAUGGCGCAGAGGCAGAGUGGGAGGAAGCGAGUCCCCCCCACGUCCUUGCUGGUUGCAGCGAGCGAUGCGAACGGCUGCACGGGUUGUGAGGGUCCCGGCGGCCGACGGGUGGGAGGAGGUGACAUUUGGCCAUGCAUUAAAAGCAGCAGUUUGCCAGCGAGA